rnacentral:lncRNA from 1 species
CUCCCCGCCGCCCCCGGUAUACAAAUAUAAGUCACCUCCUCCCCCCGUCUACCACUACAGCUCGCCACCACCGCCGGUUUACAAGUACAAGUCGCCACCACCACCUGUGUACCAUGCCCCGGCUCCUGUUUACAAGUACGAGUCGCCCCCCCCACCGGUUUACAAGUACAGCUCCCCUCCACCGCCGGUCUACAAAUAUAAGUCGCCACCACCUCCUGUGUACCACGCCCCGGCUCCUGUUUACAAGUACAAGUCACCUCCUCCCCCCGUCUACCACUACAGCUCGCCACCACCGCCGGUUUACAAGUACAAGUCACCACCACCACCUGUGUACCACGCCCCGGCACCAGUUUACAAGUACAACUCGCCACCACCCCCAGUUUACAAGUACAGCUCGCCACCACCACCUGUUUACAAAUACAAGUCGCCACCACCACCUGUGUACCACACCCCGGCUCCUGUUUACAAGUACGAGUCGCCUCCUCCGCCGGUGUACAAGUACAGCUCCCCGCCGCCACCGGUCUACAAAUAUAAGUCGCCACCACCACCUGUGUACCACGUCCCAGCGCCGGUUUACAAGUACGAAUCUCCUCCGCCACCGGUGUACAAGUACAG